GACGAACGCUGGCGGCGUGCUUAACACAUGCAAGUCGAACGAUGAAGCCUUAGCUUGCUUUGGUGGAUUAGUGGCGAACGGGUGAGUAACACGUGAGCAACGUGCCCAGGACUCUGGAAUAACCGCGGGAAACCGUGCUAAUACCGGAUAGGUGCCGAGGCCGCAUGGUCUUCGGUUGGAAAGUUUUUGCGGUUCUGGAUCGGCUCACGGCCUAUCAGCUUGUUGGUGGGGUAAUGGCCUACCAAGGCGACGACGGGUAGCCGGCCUGAGAGGGUGACCGGCCACACUGGGACUGAGACACGGCCCAGACUCCUACGGGAGGCAGCAGUGGGGAAUAUUGCACAAUGGGCGCAAGUCUGAUGCAGCAACGCCGCGUGGGGGAUGACGGCCUUCGGGUUGUAAACCUCUUUUAGUAGGGAAGAAGCGCAAGUGACGGUACCUGCAGAAAAAGCACCGGCUAACUACGUG
rnacentral:rRNA from 1 species